UACGUAGGGGGCAAGCGUUGUCCGGAAUUAUUGGGCGUAAAGAGCGCGUAGGCGGUCCGAUAAGUCGGCUGUGAAAGUCAGGGGCUCAACCCUUGAAAGCCGGCCGAUACUGUCGGACUAGAGGCCGGGAGAGGCGAGUGGAAUUCCCAGUGUAGCGGUGAAAUGCGUAGAUAUUGGGAGGAACACCAGUGGCGAAGGCGGCUCGCUGGACCGGUUCUGACGCUGAGGCGCGAAAGCGUGGGGAGCAAACGGG
rnacentral:rRNA from 1 species